rnacentral:tRNA from 1 species
ACCUGGGUGGCUCAGUCGGUUGAGCGUCUGACUUCAGGUCAGGUCACGAUCACGGUUUGUGAGUUCGAGUCCCACAUCGGGCU